AACGAACGCUGGCGGCAUGCCUAACACAUGCAAGUCGAACGAGACCUUCGGGUUUAGUGGCUCACGGGUGCGUAACGCGUGGGAAUAUGCCCUUGUGUUCGGCAUAACAGUUGGAAAUGACUGCUAAUACCGGAUGAUGACGUAAGUCCAAAGAUUUAUCGCCUAAGGAUGCGGCCGCGUAGGUUUAGCUAGUUGGUGAGGUUAAGGGAUGCUAAGGCGAGGAUCCUUAGCUGGUCUGAGAGGAGGAUCAGCCAGACUGAGACAGGGACACGGCCCCGACUCGUGCGAGAGGCGGCGAUGGGGGAUAUUGGGGAAGAAGCGAGAGCCUGCACCGGCGAGGCCGCGUGAGUGGUGAUGGCCUUGGGGUUGGAAAGCUCUUUUGACGGAGAUGAUAGUGACGGUAGCGGGAGAAUAAGCACCGGCUAACUCCGUG
rnacentral:rRNA from 1 species